AUAACACUUAGCACAAUUUUGGCAUUUAGUAAAUGCUCAAUACUUGCUGCUUUUUUUUUUUUUAAUUUGUUUUUAUUUUUAUUAUUUGAGACGAGGUCUCACUGUGUUGCCCAAGCUGGUCUCUAGCUCCUGAGCUCAAGUGAGUCACCCGCCUUGGCCUCCCAAAGUGCCGGGAUUACAGGCAUGAGCCACGACGCCCGGCCAAUACUUGCUUGUUAUUAUUGCUCUUAUUACAUUAUGAUAAGUGCCGCUAAACAAAAAUAGACUCAGUUCCCGGCCCUAUAUAUAGUCUAGUGGAUAAAAUGGAGAUUACUCAAAUAAUCACACGUAUAUCCACGUAAAGGAACAGGGGUAAAUGAGAAGUGCACAUGUCUCUGACCUCGAAGGGCUCAUGGCUAACAGGAGAGGCAAUCUGAGGCUAGGUUCAGGAUCAAUCUAGGGCAAGACACAGCUCAAAUAGAGGUCAGAGCUGGAGCUCAGAAUGGGCCAUGGCAGGACUCAGUUUGGGGCAGGGCUGGCUCAGCCUGUGACUGGUGCCAAGUCAGUCAGUUUCAUUUCUAGCACUGACUCACUGUGGACCAUUUGAUAAGCUGCUAGGCUUCUGGGAACCUCUGUUUCAUCAUCUGUAAAAUGGGGAGACCUCUGUCUACCCCCAGGCUUGUGGGAAUUGAGUGAGGUAAUAAUGGAAGUGAAGGAUUAAGCUUCUGUUGCCACCACUAAUGACUCUAAGCCUGGCCUCCCCUCCCAGGCCAGGGAGGCUGCGUGGCCCUCACCCAUGUCUCCCGCUGUGGGAAACUGCCACCUCAGCCCGGGAUCCUUUCCAAGAAGAGUCUGGAGAUUUCACAAAGCCCUCUGAACAACAAAGGAUUCUCCUGAAGAGAACUUCAGGACACAGGAGCCCCAGUGCUUCAGGAAGAAUCUGGGUUAGCUGAGGUGGAAGCUGCACGACAGGGGGCUGAGGAGGAAGCUUGAUGACAAGGGAGAGGUGAAGGGGAGAUAAGGGCAGGUGCUCAUCAGCCCGGGCCUCCCCCGCUCCCCCCCGCCCCCGCCGCCCUGUCUCCUCAGCCUGCACAGCCCCUGUGGAGGCGGGGCCCGCGAGACGUCUGAAAGGCUCACCUCCUUCAGGUUUACCUUCAGUCUGCCCUCAAUAAGCUGCCUAGAAAGGACUGCACAGCCUGCAAGCCCCAACCUGCCUCUUGGACUGUGGGCUAUUGGAAAAGCCCCUCUCUGGGCCUCAGUCCCUAUUUGUUUUUUAAAAGACAGGGUCUCACUCUGUCACCCACGCUGAAAUGCAGUGGUAUGAUCACAGCUCACCGCAGCCUCACCUUCCCGGGCUCGAGCCAUCCUUCCACUUCAGCCUCCCAAGCAGCUGGGACUACAGGUACGCAUCACCACGCCCAGCUAAUUUUUGUAUUUUUUGACAGAGGUGGGGUUUCACCAUGUUGCCCAGGCUGGCCUUGAACUCCUGAGCUCAAGUGAUCAGCCAGCCUCGGUCUCCCAAAGUGCUGGGAUUACAGGUUUGAGCCACCAUGCCCAGCCCUCAGUCCCUAAUUUUUUUUAAGUGGGCUUUGGACAACUUCUGAGCCUGAUUUAAGCGCCCCACCCUGCCGGGUUGGGUGGAAGCCAUAGAUACAUAGAAGAAUAACUGAAAAAGCAGUCAUUCUUCUGUCUGCCUUGUCACCUCCCUCUCCCACACUCCAGCCACCAGGGGCCUGCAGAGCCCAGGAAGAUGGACAAGGUGUGGAGGUGGAGGUCGCCUACUGAAGUGCCAGGCCUGUCAAAGUCUGGCCAUUUCUGCUUCAGGUUCUCGGAAUAGACAUCCUCACGGGUCUCUAGUUCGGCCUCCAUCUGGGGAGGAAUCACUGAUACCCAGCUCCUAUCCACAAGCCUGAAGGGAUGGGCAGCUCACUACCUUCCAGGGCAGCCUGUGCCAGGGCUGUUGGAAAGUUCUUCCUCAUGUUGUCUGAAAUCUGCCACCCAGUAGCCUCCUUAUCAGGCCUGGCUUGACCUGGGAGCCACACAGAACAUGUCUAUUCACACUGUUCUGCAGUGUGUCACCCAACUGGCGUGGCGCCUCACACACUCACUGUGCCCUCUCCCUGGGUACCUCUGCUCUGCCGGUCCCUCUUCCUCGGGAGAGGCUUCACUCUUCAGAGUCUAGCCACAUGCCACCGGCUCCAGGAAGCCUUGCCAGAUUAUCACAGGGGAGGGAGAUGCCCCUCCUUCUCUUGAUGCCUCUGGUCACUAUAUAUGGUUCUCAACCACUGCCAGAUGGAGCUCCCUGGGCAGAAGCUGGCAUGGCGUACAGCCUGGUGUGGAGUUUGUGUCCAAUCAGUACUGAACUUGUUAAAUUAACUGGGAAGAGCCUGUGAGGGACAAGCUCUGCUGAGGGCCUCAGGGAACCAGGUUUCUGUCUGGGCCUUGCCGUGGCUUUGCAGUACAGGCUUGGGAAGCCCUGGCUUUUCCUGGGCCUCUGUCUCCUGCGUAGAGGUUGGUCAGGGUGGUCCAUACAGGCGCCUUUCUCAGACAGCCUUGGUUUCCGAGAGUCUUGCUGGGUUUUGUCUUCCAUAUGAUAUCAUCCUGUUUCCUCAACUGUUCCAUUCAGAGCUUCCUCCUAUGCUGGGUCCUCCUGGCUAGGGUUGCAGAUGGGGCUUAGAGGUCAUCAGAGGGCAAAGGCACAGCAGCCUGGGGCAGUGGAGUGAGAGGAUCUCCUGGGAUAGCAGCCAAGGACAGGUGGACCCUCUGUCCUUGCAGGCCCUGUCGCUUUUCCUGCCUGCCUCCCUCAUGCCAACCUUGAGAUGAGACUGGGUCCAAGGCAGCGGCCAUGCCACAGCCUCCUCUGUCUUCCAGAGGACAUGGCCCUGUCCUGGUACAGUCUCCUAGUCCUCAGCAUGAAUGUCCAGAGUUUAGGGACCACGCCCCAGUCUUCGUGAGGUGGAUGGGAAGUCAACAUUAGCUGACUGAGCACCAUCUGUGUGGAAGAUGCAGCCCUGUCACUGGGAAUACAGUGCUGAGCAGGACAGCACCUGAUGUGCGAGGGGGAAGACAGACAACAAAUACAGAAGCAAUGGAAUGUACCUUUGGCAGGCCAAUUAAAGCUUAUGAAGACACUACCACUACGACCAGGAGGGAGGUGGGGGCUCAAUGUAUGGCUGCAGGAGACAGAUGGAAUGACU
rnacentral:lncRNA from 1 species